rnacentral:pre_miRNA from 2 species
GAUUUCAACAGAAAAAGUCAUCAACAACAAAGUUGUAUAACUCAUCAAUAUCUAUAACUUUUAUUUUGGUCAUUUCUUCAUUCGAUAAAGUGAUAGUAACAUUGUUCACAAAAUUUACACAUCUCUCUUAUAAUUUAUGAAACCAUAUGAGAGAGAUGUAAAAUUUGUAAACAAUGUUACUAUCACUUUAUCGGAUAAAGAAAUGACUAAAAUAAAAACUGUAAAUCUAGAUGGAUUAUAUAACUUUGUUGUUGAUGACUUUUUCAGUUGAAGUC